rnacentral:lncRNA from 1 species
AUGAUCAUGCCUGGAGAACAGGGAUGGACAGUCCCGCUUCUGAAAGACCCUGUCUGGCUGAUGAUUCAUGGUGCGCCGGGCAGACCCCAGGCCAAGAGACCCCACCCACAGUACCUGAGUGCUCAGCUGGGAACCAGACCAGACCUCAAAACAGACCAGCCCCCCAGCAUUGACCUGGAUGCCUGCCACAGCCUCCUCCCUGGUCUCCGGCCUCCCACCUCUGCUCCUCGGUCUCCUCUACCCAGCCAGUAACUGCAGAGAGCACUAAAGCACAGUCCUGGCAUCUCACCCCCUUAACCCUGGCCACGGCUUCCCAGUGCCUCCAAGAUAAAGCACCAACACCUGAGGACAGCAGCUUGUUUUGAGAGUCCCCUCCAUUGAAACACGCACAUCUAAUUUGUCCUUCAGUUCGCUGGACUCCACGCUGAACGUGCCAUGCUCCAUUGCCCCGUGGGGCCACCCGCAGACUGUAACCGGCUGGUUCAAGAUCAAGGACUUCCCCAGGCCACCUGCCUCAGAGGCAAGAAAGGCUCAGCUGAGUCCCAGACACUCCUCGCUGUGGCCCCUCCUUCCUCCCUGCUGGGCAGGCCCCCCUCAAUUCUGUUUGCCAGCAGGGCCUAGUAACACUGAAAGACGAAAAGGGAAAUAAAAUAAACACAAUUAAUAGGCUAAA